GGUGGGGUAGCUCAGUUGGUUAGAGCGCGGGAUUCAUAACCCCGAGGUCGGGAGUUCAAUUCUCCCCCACCACCA
rnacentral:tRNA from 1 species